rnacentral:rRNA from 1 species
UACGUAGGGUGCGAGCGUUAAUCGGAAUUACUGGGCGUAAAGCGUGCGCAGGCGGUUUUGUAAGCCAGAUGUGAAAUCCCCGGGCUUAACCUGGGAAUGGCAUUUGGGACUGCAAGGCUCGAGUGCGGCAGAGGAGACUGGAAUUCCUGGUGUAGCAGUGAAAUGCGUAGAUAUCAGGAGGAACACCGAUGGCGAAGGCAGGUCUCUGGGCUGACACUGACGCUCAUGCACGAAAGCGUGGGGAGCAACAGGAUAGAAACCC